rnacentral:lncRNA from 1 species
CAAAAAAUCGAAUUGACAUGCAAUAGAAUAUCCAUUUACUAGCUAAAUGUCUAUUAUAAGCAAAUUAAAAAUAGUGUUUAGCAUCAGCAUAAAAAAAAGUGGGAGCUAACGAACUAGGGGAUCUCUCUGAGCAACGACCUCAUCUUCAACAUCUUCAUCGGCAAGAGAGAUGUGAAACCCAACUGCCUCAGACGUUUUCUCUGUUCCUUUUUCUGUUCUUUUAACACCUCUACCAAAAAACGCAAUGUCAAAACCUGGCCACUCGUUGUCAGUAUGUUUCACAAACUCCUCCAAGGCCACUAAUAGGCAUCCUGAGCUAGAGGUCGAACUCAAGAAAGGCCCUCAAAAGAUCCAUUUCCUUAGUUGCUUUAGCUUCAACCUCUUUUACCUUUUUGGUAGCUUCUUCAGCCCUCUUCAUAGCUUCGUUAGCCUUAGCUCUCGCUUCUGCAGCUCUAUUUUCCUCAGUAGAGACCCUCUCGUUUGCCUUUCUUCCCUAAAUCUUCAAGGCUUUAAUCUCAUCCACGAGGCCCAGUUCUGAGGCUAACUUCGCCUCCAAUCAAUCCCCAUCUUAUUAAGGUGAUAUUUGUAUUUCUUCUUUUUUCCCAACAAAUCUUAGCCUUUCAGCCUCCAUGUUUUGGAAAAAGCUUAAGGCCCGAUUCUUUACCUCUAACCUUUUUUUCCAAUUCAGCCUUCACCUGAAAGAAGAAAAUAAUCUGGGUUAUAAAACAAAGCAAAAGUUUCUAAACUACGCAAGCUCGAACACAUCAUCCGUCACUAACAUCAUAUAUAGAAUGUAUUAGAAAAUGAACUUUUAGUUCAACUCAUUCCAUUUCCUAGUGAGGAGAUUGGUGGAGUCUCUAAGGGGAUAAAGAGAGUGUAGCUAUCAACUUCCUGGAUCGUGAUGGAGGUUUGAGGAAGUCCAGGAAUAUCCAAGGUCUUCAGCCCACCAAGAAAUCAAUGAUAGGCCUCCGUAGAUUUGGGCACCAUUCUUAUGACCUCAAGGAGCCUGCCACAAUAGUGAUGGUAAGAGGAAUAGAAACAUGAGUCGACCUCUACAUUGGUACCAGAUGUAAAGAUUACUCAGGA